rnacentral:rRNA from 1 species
GACGAACGCUGGCGGCGUGCUUAACACAUGCAAGUCGAACGGAAAGGCCCUGCUUUUGUGGGGUGCUCGAGUGGCGAACGGGUGAGUAGCACGUGAGUAACCUGCCCUUGACUUUGGGAUAACUUCAGGAAACUGGGGCUAAUACCGGAUAGGAGCUCCUGCUGCAUGGUGGGGGUUGGAAAGUUUCGGCGGUUGGGGAUGGACUCGCGGCUUAUCAGCUUGUUGGUGGGGUAGUGGCUUACCAAGGCUUUGACGGGUAGCCGGCCUGAGAGGGUGACCGGCCACAUUGGGACUGAGAUACGGCCCAGACUCCUACGGGAGGCAGCAGUGGGGAAUAUUGCACAAUGGGCGGAAGCCUGAUGCAGCAACGCUGCGUGCGGGAUGACGGCCUUCGGGUUGUAAACCGCUUUCGCCUGUGACGAAGCGUGAGUGACGGUAAUGGGUAAAGAAGCACCGGCUAACUACGUG